CAUCAGCCCAUGGCUUGUGUGGUAUCAGCAUGCGAAUAGGUGGUGGAGCUGGUGCUACAUUUUGUGAUAAUAUAGCUGAUUUCAUUAAAAACUCUCUGGCUUCAGUGGUCAGAGUUGUCUCAGCCAUUUCACUCUCUGGUUCCAAGUGUUGUAGCCUUGGGCUUCCAUAUUUGUAGGCAUGUGGAACGAGAGGCGUUUUAUAUCAAUUGGGUUCAAUUUCCCCACUGCUUGAACUCUCAAAGACCUGAGAAGAGGUGAUGCACACGAAAUAUUUGUAAAUUCAUCUGAAGUAAGAGAACCCAUAAACUGUGGUGGGAGAACAGAUGUUGGGGUGAUUGGAGAAGUGCAACAGGAGGUGUUGCUCUCUGAAUAGGAUGCCAUCAAGACUUUUCCAAAUGCACUAGCUGUGCCAUUUCAAAUGCCAAGAGAAGCAACAAUUACAAAUAAAUGCUGUCAGAAUCGAUCAAGAAACUUAAAAGUUGUACGGAUUUCAUUUGGUUAUUGAGAACUUCAAGGGGAAAGAAAAGGAAAUUACUCAAAGUUCUCAAAAGUGUUCUUUCUUACAGUUUCCUAAUCAUAUUAUUUCCUUUGUUCAAGAUCCAAAAAGUCGCAAAAAAACAGAACGAUAUUGCCAACAACAUCCUGGAUCAAUUGUAUAACAUACCAAGGUUUUCUGAAGUGAGUUUCUGAAUAUUGCUGAAGUUAUCAAAUGUCACUUUGUCCAUCCAUUCUUGAUUCAUCAUCAAUGAAUCUCCAAUGGAUAUCAAAGCAUCACAAUAGCAAACCAGAACCUGUUUGAUCAUCCAGGGUGAAACUUGUGCAGAUCUUCAAUUGUUCUCGAAACUAACUGCAAGAAUGCAAAUGGUUUGAGAUUCAACACAAGGUUUCUAAUAUUUUUGGUUGCAAAGAGGAAGGUAAGUUAUUCUACUUCAUUUAUGCUUUCAGUGGCAUCACAAGGUGGCAGGUCAAUGAUGUCCCUGAAGGUAAAGAUUUUCUUCCUAAGUUCCAUUAUCAAUAUGAAGUUGCCUGUACAUUGAUGCGAUACUUCCAUCUUUGGUCCUUCCACUUCCUUUUUCUGAUUCUUUAGUAGGUAAGCACUUCUCAUUAUCUGCAGCAAUAUUCAUGUUUCUGUCAGUAUUGCUAGGCCAACACCAUGUAAGUUAUCCAGCUGUUUAAUCUUUCAAUAUCAAAGCAUAUUCAUAAAGCAUUUCUUUUUGAAGAUUCAUCCAUUUGCAAGAUUGCAUGACCUUGAAAAUUUUUGAGGGUGAAUUCCUGAGAGUAUUCUAGCUUUGCAUUUCAAAAUGGUAAAGAAAUCAAUUUAACGUGUCAUGUUCUUAAAAGCAAGAAGCUAUACUUGAAAUUAUAUUUCUCUUAGGUUGAGUAGUUGUAGCAGAAUAUAUAAAUGGCUAUCAUAGCCUUCCUAAAAGCUAUAUAGAAAGUAUUAUGUUUGCAUAGUUUGAUUCAUUGCAAAAUGCUGUUUCACUUGCAUGGUCCAAGAAACAUUUUUGGAUAGUCUGGAUGAUCAUGAAGAAAAUGGAACAGAUUUUUUUUUUUUCCUCAAAACCGAAAACAUUGUUGGAGAGUUGAAGAAGAGUUCUGUGAAAAGGCUGAGUUAGGAGAACAGAAUUUUCGCUUAGCAUUUUCACAGCAAUUCCAAGAUGUUAGGACGAGAAGAACAUGAAUAGAGGCACAAGAUUCCCUAGUGCCAUAACAAAUCAUGUUCGUAAUGCCCUUGCAGAUUGAAGCAAAUUGCUUGUACAGUAUAAAGCAUGUCAAAUACAUAUACACAGGACUUACCUCAAUUCUUGAAGGGUUGCCACUGAACAACAAUGGCUUCUCACCACAAAAACCACUAGUCGUAAGCUAGCAUUAGAAGUCGUAUAAAGAAAUGGAAAAAAAAAUAACAGAGGUGGAGAUGAAGGACAGAUUUUUUUUUUCUUUCCUUUAAAUACAUCUUUUUAUUUUAUUUUUUAUUUUUGUUUUUUUUUUGCAGGAAAACAGAAGAAGCAUUCAAAAAGCAAAGGGGGUCUGUACAAAAAUCAUUAAAGUGCCAAGCAUUAAAAUUCCUAAAGGAAAGAGUUCGCUUCUGGAACUCCUCAGAGAGAGAGAGAGUCAAGGAGACAAGGAAAUAGCUUGCCUUUUUAUUGGUGGCCUUCCUCCGGCAGAAGCUGUACCUAUCUUGCUGCUCUAGUUCGUUUCUGUUAUUUCCCUUUAGUGUCUAAAUUUUUAGGAUUGGUGGGCUCUCUUCCUAACGUCAAUUUAAACAAAUUUCACUCUUUUAUUGCAGGAUUAAUUUGUGGGUUAUGGACAGCUAAUUACAUUAAACAUCCAUGUUGAGAGAUGGUUUUGAUGGCAACGUUAACGGGCAAGGGGGUAGCAGUAGAGGUGCAAGUGGAGGUGCUAGUGGUAGCAGUGGUGUCGGUGAAAAAUGGAGAUACUAGCGGCGGUGAGGGAAUGGAGGUGGGGUUGGUCUUUGAUUGACAUUUUUGUUGCAAUUGCUAACUCUCUUCGCUUGAUCUGGGGUUAUGGUAGUAGUCACAGGCGUGGUGCAACCACUUCUGCUGUCGAUAUUUGAACAUAUGGUGAUAAAGUGCACAGUGCUUGCAUUGGUUCCUGCAAUUGUAAUGAUAACGAUUCCCGUGAUUACAUAUAGUUGAACCGU